UUUUGAUAUAUGGAAGUUUACAUUUGUUCUGAUAAGAGUACAGAAACUAUACUGGUCAGUAUUAAUUGGUAAAACCUCAUAUGAGGAUACAAUAAAUAUACUUUUUCUAUUUCUACACACUCCUCAAGUUUGUGAAAAUGAUAUAUGCACAAUUCAAGAAGAGGAAACUGUAAGAUUAGAAGGAUUGGAAUUACAACAGUGCAUCUCGAAUCAAGCGUGCCAUCACACGAGAAGUAAGUCGACUAAGAAUCUCAGGAAGAACCUUAGCGGAGAGGCCUGGAAGCACUGGAAGAAGCUCCUGGAUCACUCUAG
rnacentral:misc_RNA from 1 species